UACGAGGGGGGCAAGCGUUGUUCGGAAUUAUUGGGCGUAAAGGGUGCGUAGGCGGUCUGACAAGUCUUAUGUGAAAUCUACAGGCUCAACUUGUAGUCUGCAUGAGAAACUGCCGGGCUUGAGUAUGGGAGAGGUGAGUGGAAUUCCUGGUGUAGCGGUGAAAUGCGUAGAUAUCAGGAGGAACACCUGUGGCGAAAGCGGCUCACUGGACCAUAACUGACGCUGAUGCACGAAAGCUAGGGGAGCAAACAGG
rnacentral:rRNA from 1 species